UACGUAGGGAGCGAGCGUUAUCCGGAUUCAUUGGGCGUAAAGAGCGCGUAGGCGGCCUCUCAAGCGGGAUCUCUAAUCCGAGGGCUCAACCCCCGGCCGGAUCCCGAACUGGGAGGCUCGAGUUCGGUAGAGGCAGGCGGAAUUCCCGGUGUAGCGGUGGAAUGCGCAGAUAUCGGGAAGAACACCGAUGGCGAAGGCAGCCUGCUGGGCCGCAACUGACGCUGAGGCGCGAAAGCUAGGGGAGCGAACAGG
rnacentral:rRNA from 2 species